UUCAUAGUUGAAUAGGCUUGGAAAAGUUUUUCAAUGAAAUGGAUAAAAAAAAUGGUUUUUAUCUGCCAUAGGAUAGGAUCGUGGUCGAUUAUGGUUGUUGGUGAGGUAACGGCUCACCAAGCCGAUAAUCGAUAGGGGCCGUGAGAGCGGGAGCCCCAAGAUGGGUACUGAGACAACGACCCAGGCCUUACGAGGCGCAGCAGGCGCGAAACCUCCGCAAUACACGAAAGUGUGACGGGGUUACCCAAAGUGUUCUUUUAGAACUGUGGUAGGUGAGUAAUAUUCCCUACUAGAAAGGAGAGGGCAAGGCUGGUGCCAGCCGCCGCGGUAAAACCAGCUCUUCAAGUGGUCGGGAUAAUUAUUGGGCUUAAAGAGUCCGUAGCCGGUUUAGUAAGUUCCUGGUAAAAUCGGGUAGCUUAACUAUCCGCAUGCUAGGAAUACUGCUAUACUAGAGGGCGGGAGAGGUCUGAGGUACUACAGGGGUAGGGGUGAAAUCUUAUAAUCCUUGUAGGACCACCAGUGGCGAAGGCGUCAGACUGGAACGCGCCUGACGGUGAGGGACGAAAGCCAGGGGAGCGAACCGGAUUAGAUACGCGGUGCUAGGUAGAAAUAAUAAUAAU
rnacentral:rRNA from 1 species